CAUCUAUUCUCUCUCUCUACUACUUUAUUAGAUCUACAAAUCUAUAUGCUAUUGAACUGAGCCUUUCACAUCUCAUUCUCAGGUAACAAUCCUCAUGCUAUUUAUACUAUGCUUUCUUUUCUUUGUACAUGAUUUUGCAAAUUUGAAGGCACAGCUUGGGACUUGGGUGACUGAUAAAUUAUUCUACUAAUCCUUCGCAUUCGAGUCCCAUGACUUCAACAUGACAACUAUUAAUUUAAUGCAAAAAUGCUUCAAAGGCAGCAGCUGAAUUUUAGGUUGGGAUAUAGUACUACUUAUCAGUGAUUCAAUUUUAUGUCUUUUCCGAUAUGUUGAUUGGAUUUGGAGGUGCACAUGCUCAAUCUUGGCAAGAUCUGGUUGCAGUUUUUGUGGGAAGAGCAAAGUGGUGAUGAGAAUGUUUGCGAAAUCAAAUUAAUGGAUGAUUCUAGAGACACUUGACGUUAAGAGCCUAAUAGAUGCAUGAGACUUUUAGGAUACUACACUUAUGAAUGCGACUCUCAAUCAAAUCAAUACUAAAUAUGCACUAGUAUUCAAAAGGUCAAGAGACAAAUUAUGCCAUUUAACAUGUAUUAGUUAAAACUAAACUUAAUGCACACUUACACGCUAGAUCGUGUGUCGUGUGAGCGUGUAAGCAUGCCUGAACUAAAACUAGCUUAAUACACUUCUACACGUUAAAAAAUAAAAUGGUAAGAGUUGAUAUUAUUUAAAUAUUAUUAUAGUA